AUGAAAAUUCGAGAGAACUUUAAAGCUGGCGAUGAAGAGAAGAUGUUGAAAUUGUCGCUGCAGUUCUGCGAAUCUGUUGCAGGAUUGCUAUGCUUCCUCUUUCGAUGGACGCCCUUGUCUAAGCAUAUCUUCAACUUCUCGGUGAGCUUGCUCCCAUUUCCCACGGGCAGUAGCAAAUGCUUGAAUAGUUCCAGUCAUUCCUGA